rnacentral:lncRNA from 1 species
AUAGGGAGGAUCGUGACCAUCAUCCCAUAGGGGCAUUGCCCCCAAGCCUCACAACAUGCAGGUGAUGCAUCGAACCCCACCCCCAAAACUGUCUAUAAGAUCCUAUUCAGAAGGAAUAAAGGUGUGUGUGUGUGUGUGUGAGUGUGUGUGUGUAUUACUCCAUUGCCUGAGGGCAUCUGUGUAUAAGAGCUGAACACUUCCUGGGAAGAGAACGCUCUCCCUCCCGAAGCUUUUGUUGCUGGAAGCUCCCCUGAACUUCCUUUGCUAGCUGAGCCCUCCAUCUUGGAGCAACAGCUGCAGCUGGGACAGCAGCAACACCAGCGCAGCUGUGUGGGUUGUAAUUCCCCCUCCCUGCUUCUGCCCUUUCCCCUUCAUCUAAAUGGGGUCAGGUCAAAGAGCUCCACAGACAGCAUCCGGUGCACAGACCUGCAGGUGUUAAAAAUUUUCAUGAGUUAUAUUCAUUCCAAUAAGUAAUUUUCCACUUAAGGAUAUGUAGAAUAAACUCUAGACCGGGAAACCCAUGCUCUUCUGCCAUCUCCAAGUUAACUGUCGUCUUUAUGUUUUAUGUGAGUAUAUAAAUCAUAAAAGC